CAUACCUAUUCGAAGGGAUAGGGUCGGUUUGGCCGGAUUUCACACAGGUGUUGCAUGGCUGUCGUCAGCUCGUGUCGUGAGAUGUUGGGUUAAGUCCCGCAACGAGCGCAACCCUCAUCCUUAGUUACCAUCAGGUUAUGCUGGGGACUUUAAGGAAACUGCCAGUGAUAAACUGGAGGAAGGUGGGGAUGAUGUCAAGUCAUCAUGGCCCUUAUGGAGUGGGCUACACACGUGCUACAAUGGUGAUUACAAUGGGCUGCAAGGUCGCAAGGCUGAGCUAAUCCCAAAAAAUCAUCUCAGUUCGGAUUGGUCUCUGCAACUCGAGAGCAUGAAGUUGGAAUCGCUAGUAAUCGUGGAUCAGCAUGCCACGGUGAAUACGUUCUCGGGUCUUGUACACACUGCCCGUCACGCCAUGGGAAUUGGUUUCACUCGAAGCU
rnacentral:rRNA from 1 species